rnacentral:misc_RNA from 1 species
AAGUCGUAACAAGGUUUCCGUAGGUGAACCUGCGGAAGGAUCAUUAACACGUAUCCACGUAUUCACCCCAGUGAAUUCGUUUUCGACCAAGUCCUGCUUGCUACUGGUUGAUGAGUGCUCUCUAGUAUUCGUUUGAAUGAGAGAUCGAUUUCGAUCGAUCUCGAGUCUAGAUUGCGUCUUCUUCGGAAGUACCUCAUCGAUCGUCGCUGUAGGCAUUUUCGAUCUACGUUCGACUCGACAUUCAACGAGUUGAUCGUAUUUCAUUUCUAUUCACCUAUUUCACACCCUUUUUGCUAGUUGACUUUUAUAAUGUUGUUUCGAGGGAGCCGGUAACGGUUCGCUGGAGACACACGUUUAAUUAUUUGAACGUUAAAAAAACAACUCUUAGCAAUGGAUAUCUAGGUUCUC